CAAUAGCGUAUAUUAAAGUUGUUGCAGUUAAAAAGCUCGUAGUUGGAUUUCUGGUGGGAGCGAUCGGUCUGGCGCUUAGCGCGAGUACUUGCAUCGUCUCCGGCCAUCCUUGGGGAGAGUCUGUCUGGCAUUAGGUUGUCGGGCAGAGGAUCCUCAUCGUUUACUGUGAAAAAAUUAGAGUGUUCAAAGCAGGCUUAUGCCGUUGUAUAUAUUAGCAUGGAAUAAUAAGAUAGGACUUUGGUACUAUUUUGUUGGUUUGCGCACCAAAGUAAUGAUUAAUAGGGACAGUUGGGGGUAUUCGUAUUCCGUUGUCAGAGGUGAAAUUCUUGGAUUUACGAAAGACGAACUACUGCGAAAGCAUUUGCCAAGAAUGUUUUCAUUAA
rnacentral:rRNA from 1 species